rnacentral:rRNA from 1 species
GUGUCAGCAGCCGCGGUAAUACGGAGGGUGCAAACGUUGCUCGGAAUCAUUGGGCGUAAAGCGCACGUAGGCGGUCCCUUAAGUCGGGUGUGAAAGCCCUCGGCUUAACCGAGGAAGUGCAUUCGAAACUGGGGGACUUGAAUACUGGAGAGGAUGGCGGAAUUCCCGGUGUAGAGGUGAAAUUCGUAGAUAUCGGGAGGAACACCAGCGGCGAAGGCGGCCAUCUGGACAGAUAUUGACGCUGAGGUGCGAAAGCGUGGGGAGCAAACAGGAUUAGAAACCCUGGUAGUCC